rnacentral:tRNA from 1 species
CGGGAUGUGGCUCAGCUUGGUAGAGCGCUCGCUUCGGGAGUGAGAGGUCGCUGGUUCAAAUCCAGUCAUCCCGACCA